rnacentral:rRNA from 1 species
AUUGAACGCUAGCGGGAUGCUUUACCCAUGCAAGUCGAACGAGUGGCGGACGGGUGAGUAAUAUAUCGGAACGUGCCCAGUAGCGGGGGAUAACUACUCGAAACAGUGGCUAAUACCGCAUACUAUUGGAUACGCCGAUAUCGGAUUAGCUAGUUGGGGGGGUAACUGCGCACCAAGGCAACGAUCCGUAGCUGGUCUGAGAGGACGACCAGCCACACUGGGACUGAGACACGGCCCAGACGCCUACGGGAGGCAGCAGUGGGGAAUGUUGGACAAUGGGGGAAACCCUGAUCCAGCCAUCCCGCGUGUAUGAGAAGGCCUUCGGGUUGUAAAGUACUUUUGGCAGAGAAGCGGUAUCUGCAGAAUAAGCACCGGCUAACUACGUGCCAGCCGCCGCGGUAAUUC